rnacentral:rRNA from 1 species
UACGUAGGGGGCGAGCGUUGUCCGAAGUUACUGGGCGUAAAGCGCGCGUAGGCGGGGGAUUAAGUGAGAGGUGAAAGGCUGAGGCUCAACCUCAUGCAGUGCCUCUCAUACUGGUCUUCUUGAGGGCGGUAGGGAGAAGUGGAAUGGCUGGUGUAGCGGUGAAAUGCGUAGAUAUCGUAAGGAAGACCAGUGGCGAAGGCGGGUCUCUGGACAGUUCCUGACACUGAGGCACGAAGGCCAGGGGAGCAAACGGG